rnacentral:rRNA from 1 species
GAUGAACGCUGGCGGCGUGCUUAACACAUGCAAGUCGAACGGUGAAGGCGGAGCUUGCUCUGCUGGAUCAGUGGCGAACGGGUGAGUAACACGUGAGCAAUCUGCCCCUGACUCUGGGAUAAGCGCUGGAAACGGCGUCUAAUACUGGAUACGAGCUGCGAAGGCAUCUUCAGCAGCUGGAAAGAACUUCGGUCAGGGAUGAGCUCGCGGCCUAUCAGCUUGUUGGUGAGGUAACGGCUCACCAAGGCGUCGACGGGUAGCCGGCCUGAGAGGGUGACCGGCCACACUGGGACUGAGACACGGCCCAGACUCCUACGGGAGGCAGCAGUGGGGAAUAUUGCACAAUGGGCGAAAGCCUGAUGCAGCAACGCCGCGUGAGGGACGACGGCCUUCGGGUUGUAAACCUCUUUUAGCAGGGAAGAAGCGAAAGUGACGGUACCUGCAGAAAAAGCGCCGGCUAACUACAUG